CGUUGUCUUGGGCUUAUGCAAUUGUUCUUACCGAAGUACACAAACAUAAUGUCACUUGUAUUUCUUUUGCAUUUGUGCUCAAGCUUACAAACUGAGUUUGAAUACUGCAUGUUAUGCUAAUCUGUUUUUGGUGGUGCAGUAUACUGGGAUGAUGUUACUUGAGGAGAUGGCCUGUGUAAUGUUCUCUUGCCUGUGUUGUUAGUUCUGUGCCUUCUCAUUCAAGUUCCAUUGAGUGUGUUGGGUUCGCACCAAGUUUUAUUUAUUCAAAGAUUGCUCAAGUCUUGAAGGACAGUGACAUCCUGGAGAUGACAAUCAGACAGGACGAGUUCAGCUUGUGCCUAGGUCAAGAGGAGGUGAAGAACAGUCUCUAGGGCGUUCAAGAUUUGGUACUGGAAAUGCAGGUCAGGGGUAUACUUUUGAAGAGGUAUAACUUAGUUACAACUUGCCUAAAAUAUCUUAUUUUUGUUAUUUGUGACUGACAUAAAU